rnacentral:rRNA from 1 species
AUUGAACGCUGGCGGCAUGCUUUACACAUGCAAGUCGAACGGUAACAGGCCGCAAGGUGCUGACGAGUGGCGAACGGGUGAGUAAUGCAUCGGAACGUGCCCAGUCGUGGGGGAUAACGCAGCGAAAGCUGCGCUAAUACCGCAUACGAUCUCUGGAUGAAAGCGGGGGACCGAAAGGCCUCGCGCGAUUGGAGCGGCCGAUGUCAGAUUAGGUAGUUGGUGGGGUAAAGGCCCACCAAGCCAACGGUCUGUAGCUGGUCUGAGAGGACGACCAGCCACACUGGGACUGAGACACGGCCCAGACUCCUACGGGAGGCAGCAGUGGGGAAUUUUGGACAAUGGGCGCAAGCCUGAUCCAGCAAUGCCGCGUGCAGGAAGAAGGCCUUCGGGUUGUAAACUGCUUUUGUACGGAACGAAACGGUCCGGGUUAAUACCCUGGGCUAAUGACGGUACCGUAAGAAUAAGCACCGGCUAACUACGUGCCAGCCGCCGCAGUAAUAC